GAUGAACGCUGGCGGCGUGCUUAACACAUGCAAGUCGAACGGAAAGGCCCAAGCUUGCUUGGGUACUCGAGUGGCGAACGGGUGAGUAACACGUGGGUGAUCUGCCCUGCACUUCGGGAUAAGCCUGGGAAACUGGGUCUAAUACCGGAUAGGACCACUUCUUGGAUGUUGUGGUGGAAAGUUUUUUCGGUGUGGGAUGAGCUCGCGGCCUAUCAGCUUGUUGGUGGGGUAAUGGCCUACCAAGGCGUCGACGGGUAGCCGGCCUGAGAGGGUGUACGGCCACAUUGGGACUGGGAUACGGCCCAGACUCCUACGGGAGGCAGCAGUGGGGAAUAUUGCACAAUGGGCGCAAGCCUGAUGCAGCGACGCCGCGUGGGGGAGGACGGCCUUCGGGUUGUAAACUCCUUUCGCUAGGGACGAAGCGUUUUGUGACGGUACCUGGAGAAGAAGCACCGGCUAACUACGUG
rnacentral:rRNA from 1 species